rfam:Danio rerio chromosome 11, GRCz11 reference primary assembly.
GCCGGGUUCAGUGGCGCGCGCCUGUAAUCCAAGCUACUGGGAGGCUGAGACUAUGGAUUGCUUGAGCUCAGGGCUUCUGGGCUGAAGUGGACUAUGUUGAUCAGGUGUCCUCACAUUGGAUGCUCCUGGGGGAGCUUAGGACCAUCAGGUUGUCUAGGGAGGGGUGAACCAGCCCAGGUUUGAGACGGAGCAGGUCAAAUCCUCUGUGCCGAUCAGUAGUGGGAUUGCAGAUGUAAAUAGACACUGCAGUGCAGCCUGAGAUGCAGAUUUCUGGAUUUGUU